rnacentral:lncRNA from 1 species
UUAAUGCUUGCGCAUCUCUAUGCAUGAUCAUCUCUAUCAUAUAAUGGUAAUGAAAUGGCAGAGUCCAUGUUAAUCUUUGAUAGAAAACCAUGAUAAGAGAGAGAGAGAGUUGAAGAGCUAGUGUUUGAUAAGGAGCAUAGUCCACCUUGAAAGGGUAAAAAGCCCUUGCAAGAUUCUCCUCGAGUGCUUGUGUCGAUGAUACCUCGUGAUGAAUCUCAUCAAAUGGUGUCUACUUUAGGACUAGAAUGGACUUGGUGCUAUGAUAAGAUGGCAUUUAAUUCCCCAUUAAUUAGAGCACAACCAAUCGACCAUCAAAAUGGGGAUAACCUUGAGGAGUUCAUGCAAGCAGAUUACCGAAGAUAGCACUCGACACAAGUUUACGGGAGAAGCUUCAACGGAGAGCAUCGCCAUGAUGAAGACGACUCUUUUCCUGCCAUGUCGAUCUCCUCUCACCGUAAACCAAUCCCAAGGCAAUAAAUGCGACAGAAUUAAGUGCUAACCCAGUCGUAAUGGUGCAUGUGACGUGCUGCCUCCUCAAGAUCUUAAUGACCAUAAUCCAGCUUACAAACACAUCAACCAAGGAACAUAUUCUAAGCCUUUAUCUUCCAUGAUCUGGUACAUAUAUGCAUGGAUAGGUUUGACUUAUUAUGAGUGCAUAUCGACAUUGAGGCAUAUGGACGUACGGUGGUUGUUGGAGGAGGGUGAUGGCAUGCAGACCCAUGCAAAUUAUAAGGUGGCUGGGAAUAUUAUCUCAGGAGAUGUACUGACACGCUGCAUGUGAGUGCACACGUCUCCUUUCUCGGGGAUCCUAUGCCUUGAGAUACUCUCCUCAGGUCGAUCGGCUCCUGGGUCACGAUUCCAGAUCUCCUGUGGUUAUAGAGUUCUGGUUUCCCAUUUGUGUGGUAUGAACUGGGGGAGUUGUGAGUUCAGUCAGAUUGGCCGUCGGGUAGAACUGAAAUCAAUGACCCUUCUGAUCAUCACUUCUAAAAUCAUCCUCAUAUCUUGAUUAAUUGAUAAACAUGUAUAUAUUUUUCUGAUGUAGGAGGAGUUUUUUUCCUCUUAAUUUUUAAUCGAUGUCAUUCCAUCUAAGACAUGUUUUGAUUUAUGCCUUUCACACUCUCUCACGAUGGUAGAUGACUCAACCCGUCACAUAAUAUAUAUUUUUUAUUUAUAUAUAAAGUCCAAUUCUUUUUUUCUUCUUAUUACUGUAUGGAUUCACCAAUUAUGGAAAAUACAGUUAAUUUUUCUCCGGGGUGAUAGGUAAAAUUGACACCGUCAUCCUUCUUCACAUGUUUCAUCGAAGACACAGCGAGGUGCACUGCACUGCAGCUUCCUCCUAUUUCUACGGUGAAUAACUCCAAUAGCCGCAUUUGUCACACAGGCAGAAUGACACACGAGAUCCGGCCACAAAGCCUGUUCCGUUCUCUCCCUUCAUACAUAUAUUAUUGGCCUGCAGUCCUCUCCCUGACCUAUUCUUUUAAUGAGACAAAAUCUUGGAGAGACCGAGAGAAAGAGGGGCGAUGUUAUCCACUUCAAUCCUUCAUGUCUUCCUUCUUCAUGUGCACCGCAGACCGGCGGCAGGCGAACCCGGCGCUUUUAGAUUGCCGGGGACGACGACAGCCACGUGGCUGCAUCCGCUUGCUUUACGGGUACUACAACGUGCUUUAGAACUCGGCUCGGCUCGGCUCGGCUAAGCUGCAGCUCAAUGAACCCUCAAACAGGUAUUUGUGGACCUAUCAUCUCCUGAUUAUAAAAUCCAGUUAAUUGGAUCUUAAAAAUCGAAUAACACUUUCGAUUGGUUUGGUUCGCUAAUUAGAUCAUCUAAAUCUUAAAUCGAUUAAAAUACCAUCAACCUUUUUAUUUAUCAUCAAAGAUAUUUGAAUAUUUUAAAGAAUAUUCAUGUGUUCUUAUUAUAUUUAUUAUUUUCUCAUUGUCUA